UACGGGGGGGGCAAGCGUUGUUCGGAAUUACUGGGCGUAAAGGGUUCGUAGGUGGCCCGCUAAGUCACACGUGAAAUCCCCCGGCUUAACCUGGGAACUGCGUCUGAUACUGGAGGGCUUGAGUGCGGGAGAGGGAUGUGGAAUUCCAGGUGUAGCGGUGAAAUGCGUAGAUAUCUGGAGGAACACCGGUGGCGAAGGCGGCAUCCUGGACCGACACUGACGCUGAGGUGCGAAAGCUAGGGUAGCAAACGGG
rnacentral:rRNA from 1 species